AUUGAACGCUGGCGGCAGGCCUAACACAUGCAAGUCGAGCGGAUGAUGGGAGCUUGCUCCUUGAUUCAGCGGCGGACGGGUGAGUAAUGCCUAGGAAUCUGCCUGGUAGUGGGGGACAACGUUGCGAAAGGAACGCUAAUACCGCAUACGUCCUACGGGAGAAAGCAGGAGACCUUCGGGCCUUGCGCUAUCAGAUGAGCCUAGGUCGGAUUAGCUUGUUGGUGAGGUAAUGGCUCACCAAGGCGACGAUCCGUAACUGGUCUGAGAGGAUGAUCAGUCACACUGGAACUGAGACACGGUCCAGACUCCUACGGGAGGCAGCAGUGGGGAAUAUUGGACAAUGGGCGAAAGCCUGAUCCAGCCAUGCCGCGUGUGUGAAGAAGGUCUUCGGAUUGUAAAGCACUUUAAGUUGGGAGGAAGGGUUGUAGAUUAAUACUCUGCAAUUUUGACGUUACCGACAGAAUAAGCACCGGCUAACUCUGUGCCAGUCGCCGCGGUAAUAC
rnacentral:rRNA from 1 species